rnacentral:rRNA from 1 species
GAGUUUGAUCCUGGCUCAGGAUGAACGCUGGCGGCGUGCCUAAUACAUGCAAGUCGAACGCUUCACUUCGGUGAAGAGUGGCAAACGGGUGAGUAAUACAUAAGUAACCUGGCAUCUACAGGGGGAUAACUGAUGGAAACGUCAGCUAAGACCGCAUAGGUGUAGAGAUCGCAUGAACUCUAUAUGAAAAGUGCUACGGGACUGGUAGAUGAUGGACUUAUGGCGCAUUAGCUUGUUGGUAGGGUAACGGCCUACCAAGGCGACGAUGCGUAGCCGACCUGAGAGGGUGACCGGCCACACUGGGACUGAGACACGGCCCAGACUCCUACGGGAGGCAGCAGUAGGGAAUUUUCGGCAAUGGGGGAAACCCUGACCGAGCAACGCCGCGUGAAGGAAGAAGUAAUUCGUUAUGUAAACUUCUGUCAUAGAGGAAGAACGGUGGAUAUAGGGAAUGAUAUCCAAGUGACGGUACUCUAUAAGAAAGCCACGGCUAACUACGUGCCAGCAGCCGCGGUAAUACGUAGGUGGCGAGCGUUAUCCGGAAUUAUUGGGCGUAAAGAGGGAGCAGGCGGCACUAAGGGUCUGUGGUGAAAGAUCGAAGCUUAACUUCGGUAAGCCAUGGAAACCGUAGAGCUAGAGUGUGUGAGAGGAUCGUGGAAUUCCAUGUGUAGCGGUGAAAUGCGUAGAUAUAUGGAGGAACACCAGUGGCGAAGGCGGCGGUCUGGGGUGCAGCUGACGCUCAGUCCCGAAAGCGUGGGGAGCAAAUAGGAUUAGAUACCCUAGUAGUCCACGCCGUAAACGAUGAGUGCUAAGUGUUGGGGGUCAGCCCUCAGCGCGGGCAGUUAACGCAAAAAGCACUCCACGUGAGUAGUACGUUCGCAAGAAUGAAAACUCAAAGGAAUUGACGGGGGCCCGCACAAGCGGGAGAGCAUGUGGUUUUAAUUCGAAGCAACGCGAAGACCCUUCACAGGUCUUGACAUGGAGAUAAAGGCUGUGGAGACAGAGAGAUAGCUAUAUCUCACACAGGUGGUGCAUGGUUGUCGUCAGCUCGUGUCGUGAGAUGUUGGGUUAAGUCCCGCAACGAGCGCAACCCCUGUUGCCAGUUGCCAGCAUUAGGUUGGGGACUCUGGCGAGACUGCCUCUGCAAAGAGGAGGAAGGCGGGGAUGACGUCAAAUCAUCAUGCCCCUUAUGACCUGGGCUACACACGUGCUACAAUGGACGGAUCAGAGGGAGGCGAAGCCGCGAGGUGGAGCGAAACCCAGAAACCCGUUCACAGUUUGGACUGCAGUCUGCAACUCGACUGCACGAAGCUGGAAUCGCUAGUAAUCGCGAAUCAGCAUGUCGCGGUGAAUACGUUCUCGGGCCUUGUACACACCGCCCGUCA